rnacentral:rRNA from 1 species
AUUGAACGCUGGCGGCAGGCCUAACACAUGCAAGUCGAGCGAGCGGCGGACGGGUGAGUAAUGCCUAGGAAACUGCCCGAUGGAGGGGGAUAACUACGGGAAACGGUAGCUAAUACCGCAUACCAUCGGAUGUGCCCAGAUGGGAUUAGCUUGUAGGUGAGGUAACGGCUUACCUAGGCGCCGAUCCCUAGCUGGUCUGAGAGGAUGACCAGCCACACUGGAACUGAGACACGGUCCAGACUCCUCCGGGAGGAAGCAGUGGGGAAUAGUGCACAAUGGGCGCAAGCCUGAUGCAGCCAUGCCGGGUGUAUGAAGAAGGCCUUCGGGUUUUAAAGUACUUUCAGCGGGGAGGCGUUACCAACAGAAUAAGCACCGGCUAACUUCGUGCCAGCCGCCGCGGUAAUUC